UACGAAGGGGACUAGCGUUGUUCGGAAUCACUGGGCGUAAAGCGCACGUAGGCGGAUUCGUAAGUCAGGGGUGAAAUCCCGGGGCUCAACCUCGGAACUGCCUUUGAUACUGCAAGUCUUGAGUCCGAUAGAGGUGGGUGGAAUUCCUAGUGUAGAGGUGAAAUUCGUAGAUAUUAGGAAGAACACCGGUGGCGAAGGCGGCCCACUGGAUCGGUACUGACGCUGAGGUGCGAAAGCGUGGGGAGCAAACAGG
rnacentral:rRNA from 1 species